UAAUGUACUAGAUUUUAACCCGCGGUAUACCGUUUGGACAAUUUAUUUUUUUAAAUUAGUAUAUAUAAAAGUUCGCAAAUUAUAUCUAUCUAUAAUA
rnacentral:sRNA from 1 species